rnacentral:misc_RNA from 1 species
GAUGAAGAACGUAGCGAAAUGCGAUAAGUAAUGUGAAUUGCAGAAUUCAGUGAAUCAUCGAAUCUUUGAACGCACAUUGCGUCCGCCAGCAUUCUGGCGGGCAUGCCUGUUCGAGCGUCAUUUCAACCCUCGAGCCCCCCCGGGGGCCUCGGUGUUGGGGGACGGCACACCAGCCGCCCCCGAAAUGCAGUGGCGACCCCGCCGCAGCCUCCCCUGCGUAGUAGCACACACCUCGCACCGGAGCGCGGAGGCGGUCACGCCGUAAAACGCCCAACUUUCUUAGAGUUGACCUCGGAUCAGGUAGGAAUACCCGCUGAACUUAAGCAUAUCAAUAAGCGGAGGA